CGAGGCUAUUUAUAGUCGUGAUUUACUCUGGAUCAGAGGGGAUCUAAGGAAAAUGUUACAGGAGAUAAAAAACCCAUCCGAUUCCAUCUAAGGGACACAACUGCAACCAAUUACAUUGCAGUAACAAUAGUGCAUUGGACCGAGAGGUAAAGGAAGCUAAGAGUUUAAAAAUUAGCGACUGCCACAUGUAGAUCAUUUCCUGUCGUGUCAUUCUACCACUGGCACACUUCGCAGGAGACACCAAACAUUUGCUAUAUGGGUGAGAACAGAGAUUUGCAGUUGAUUUUUUAAAAAAGAUUCCUUACGUGCGUCUUGCUGCAAAAUAAAACACCAAAACACGUAUCAUGCCACGGCUCUGCAGCAAUCGAAGGGGGGAAAGGAGAAAAGUUUGAGUCACGGUGAAAGCAAUAUUUGCAGGCAAAUCUCCUCAGCUGGGUCAACGUGUUCCGUCAUGCUCUUCUUUCAGGAAAGAGAAAGUCCGAUUUAAGGCUGUAUUUAACAUCUGGAAGGAGUUACCGCUCCAAUAAGGACCUCAUUAAUAACUAACCCUUUGAGAUAAAGUGGCAUGAGAGCAAAGAGCCAGUCUGAUCUUUUAAGCUUCGCGUGUUGUCGGGAUUCCAGCUCUGACAUGUUGCAUCAAGACAAACUACCCGGUCCCACAAUCAAACCUGUAAUUUUCACCAGCUGUAAUAAUCGCUCUCCAGAUGCUGAGCUGGAAACACAAAGAGGAGGCUGGACGGUUUAUCCCUCGAUCCCUCCAGUGGGAGAAAGCCGGCUCAACAAAGGAAACGGUACCAUUAAUAAUUUACAGCACUGCCUGAUUUAGCAAAUUAAACAUACCGACAAAAAAAAAAA